GAUGAACGCUGGCGGCGUGCUUAACACAUGCAAGUCGAACGAAGCAUUUGCGACAGAUUUUUUCGGAAUGAAGUUGCUUAUGACUGAGUGGCGGACGGGUGAGUAACGCGUGGGUAACCUGCCUUGUACUGGGGGAUAGCAGCUGGAAACGGCUGGUAAUACCGCAUAAGCGCACAAUGUUGCAUGACAUGGUGUGAAAAACUCCGGUGGUAUAAGAUGGACCCGCGUCUGAUUAGCUAGUUGGUGAGAUAACAGCCCACCAAGGCGACGAUCAGUAGCCGACCUGAGAGGGGGACCGGCCACAUUGGGACUGAGACACGGCCCAGACUCCUACGGGAGGCAGCAGUGGGGAAUAUUGCACAAUGGAGGAAACUCUGAUGCAGCGACGCCGCGUGAGUGAAGAAGUAAUUCGUGAUGUAAAGCUCUAUCAGCAGGGAAGAUAGUGACGGUACCUGAAGAAGAAGCUCCGGCUAAAUACGUG
rnacentral:rRNA from 1 species